GGGGAUAUAGCUCAGUGGUAGAGUGCAUGCUUAUUAGCAUGCAUGAGGUGCUGGAUUCAAUCCCCAGUACCGCCA
rnacentral:tRNA from 1 species